rnacentral:tRNA from 1 species
GAGGGUAUAGCUCAGUGGAAGAGAGCGCGCAUAGCAUGCAUGAGGUCCUGGGUUCAAUCCCCAGUACCUCCA